rnacentral:rRNA from 1 species
GACGAACGCUGGCGGCGUGCUUAACACAUGCAAGUCGAACGGAAAGGCCCUGCUUGCCGGGUACUCGAGUGGCGAACGGGUGAGUAACACGUGGGUGAUCUGCCCUGCACUUCGGGAUAAGCCUGGGAAACUGGGUCUAAUACCGGAUAGGAGCCAUUUUUAGUGUGAUGGUUGGAAAGUUUUUUCGGUGUAGGAUGAGCUCGCGGCCUAUCAGCUUGUUGGUGGGGUAAUGGCCUACCAAGGCGGCGACGGGUAGCCGGCCUGAGAGGGUGGACGGCCACAUUGGGACUGAGAUACGGCCCAGACUCCUACGGGAGGCAGCAGUGGGGAAUAUUGCACAAUGGGCGCAAGCCUGAUGCAGCGACGCCGCGUGGGGGAUGACGGCCUUCGGGUUGUAAACUCCUUUCGCCAGGGACGAAGCUUUUUGUGACGGUACCUAGAUAAGAAGCACCGGCUAACUACGUG